GCUCUUGUAGCUCAGUCGGUAGAGCGUUUCCAUGGUAAGGAAGAGGUCGCAGGUUCGAUUCCUGUCGGGAGCA
rnacentral:tRNA from 1 species